rnacentral:rRNA from 1 species
AUUGAACGCUGGCGGCAGGCUUAACACAUGCAAGUCAAGCGGAGAUGAGGUGCUUGCACCUUAUCUUAGCGGCGGACGGGUGAGUAAUGCUUAGGAAUCUGCCUAUUAGUGGGGGACAACAUUCCGAAAGGAAUGCUAAUACCGCAUACGUCCUACGGGAGAAAGCAGGGGAUCUUCGGACCUUGCGCUAAUAGAUGAGUCUAAGUCGGAUUAGCUAGUUGGUGGGGUAAAGGCCUACCAAGGCGACGAUCUGUAGCGGGUCUGAGAGGAUGAUCCGCCACACUGGGACUGAGACACGGCCCAGACUCCUACGGGAGGCAGCAGUGGGGAAUAUUGGACAAUGGGGGGAACCCUGAUCCAGCCAUGCCGCGUGUGUGAAGAAGGCCUUAUGGUUGUAAAGCACUUUAAGCGAGGAGGAGGCUACUGAGACUAAUACUCUUGGAUAGUGGACGUUACUCGCAGAAUAAGCACCGGCUAACUCUGUGCCAGCCGCCGCAGUAAGAC